GUCAGAAUGGUAUAGCGGUUUGAAUGUUGGACUACAACAAUGGAGACUAGGGUUCAAUUCCCAGUUCAGACA